rnacentral:rRNA from 1 species
UACGUAGGGGGCAAGCGUUGUCCGGAAUUAUUGGGCGUAAAGCGCGUGUAGGCGGUCCGGUAAGUCGGCUGUGAAAGCCCACGGCUCAACCGUGGAGGGUCAUUGGAAACUGGGGGACUUGAGUGCAGAAGAGGAGAGUGGAAUUCCACGUGUAGCGGUGAAAUGCGUAGAGAUGUGGAGGAACACCAGUGGCGAAGGCGACUCUCUGGUCUGUAACUGACGCUGAGGCGCGAAAGCGUGGGGAGCAAACAGG